AGGCCAAAAAUAUCUGGAGGGCCGAGGCUGAGGAAACCUGGUCUACAGUGACUGGCAGUGACUCUCCCGGGUUUCAGACAUUGAGCCUCCCUUGCCCCCCACCAGCCACAGCUGGAAUCACUGGGAAUUGAACUGGGAAACUUUCACAUGUGCUCCUGCUUGCUGACCCACAACUUUGAUUGUGCUUGAGAAAACUGCUGGUCAUCUCAACCCCCUCCUCCUCCUCCAUCUGAAGCAACUUGGGGAUCACCAUGGAAACGGUUACCAAUUAACUGCAACUGAGUAUGUAACGGCUGUCUUUGGAAAUGAGGAAUGGGAGAACCAGGGCUGGUGGCGGCAGUGCCCUUCUGACAGGAAACAGCCAGAUGCCAUAAGGAUUGGCACCCAUCCCUCCAAACAGCUUAGGUGAAUCUGUCACCUAUCCCCAUGUUCUUCUGCAAUGGAUGAAGCCAGAAGAUGCCUCUGCUCAAAGGUGGGGCCAACAGCUCACAGGACUGUUAAACUUGUUCACCCUGUUGCUCCAGGGAGGAGUGUAUGUAUGUUAUGCCCACAGGUGAGCAUGUUUCCGUGUUUCAGCCCAGAUUGUCUAACGAGAAAGCAGGAAGCAGGAAGAGAUCACUGAGAGGAUGGAGCAAAACACAGGGGCAAAUGUCCCUCCAUUCAUUGUCUUUAAGGGGCUUGGUCUGAUGCUUAUGUUGUCUUAACAUGAUGGGGAGGGGCUGUUGUUUUGUGAGGAACAGAGGAUCUGAUCAAAUCCACUCCAUACAUUGAAAUCACAUUUUAAACACGUGGCUCCCACCAAAGAAUCUUGGAAAUGUAGUUUGUUAAGUG